rnacentral:lncRNA from 1 species
GCGCCACAAAAUUUUGAAAUAUGAAGGGAGUUAUGGUGCUGUCCUAAAAAAUAUAGUUGCAAUUUUCUGCUAUUUGUAUGACGAAAUGAUGAUUUCCCUUCCCUUUACUGUUUCAGUUUCUUUCUUUUCUUUUCCCCGAAGACGUUUACUAUUUCAGUAUCUGUACUUUCUUUAUAUCAACAUAAGGACAUUGUUGUUCAAUUCCAUCAUCUGGUGGCUAACUACUCUUAGUUUCAGGCUUGACGUUUCGCUGGAAGAUAACGAAACUUGAGUACAUGGGAUCUGAAAAGGAACACACAUCAAUGUUAUGGAGAAGUACUUAAAAGUAGAUUAUCAAACAUUUGACUAGGUUGGACAUAUGCUUUCAGUAGCUUAGAUGUUUUGUUGUUGGCAUUGUCUGAGCACUCUUGUUGAGACUUUGUGUUGUAUAAGUACUGCCAGAAAAGCUUCUUAUUUUCUUCAUGUUAUAGAUUUCUCUUUGUAAAUAAGUCUCAUGUGUUUUAGUUCAAUUGUCCUGAAACAUCUGCUGUUUGGUCUGUAUAUGUAUAAGCAGUAAUCGGAUAGAACAUCUUCUAGAAUGAGAAAUCAAAGUUUCACUCUACUGGAUCACGC